AACCAAAACAAAGAGUCUCGAUG
rnacentral:siRNA from 1 species